CUGACGUGGAAAAAUGGAUUAAUAGGACAAGAAGAACCCUCAUUUUUCAAUUUUAGUCUUGAACACUAGAAGACAACAAGUUUAUAUAUAUUGCUGGCCAAAUAGUGGGAAAACACCCACCCACUGAAGAGAUCUAAGGAACAGGACUUGUCGGAUCACCUCCCAGAAUUGUUCCUCUUCUACAUCUAACCAAGUGGCACCUGUGCUGUGAGAUGCAUGCAUCACCAUCAGGAUUUUGCCAGGUCAGGAGGUUGAAAUGAAGAGGAAGGCAAAUGGGAGAUCAGAAAGAACCAGCAUUGUCUCAGUCAUGCUGGGGCAUGAAGAAUGAACUUAGCAUUAUCCAGUGCACACUUGAGAAUGACUCUAAGGGAGGGGGCACAGGGAUGAUUGUGACCAGAGGCAAUGCACACAGCAGUUCCAACUCCAAGCUUAGCUGAAAAGCAUUGUGGAGGCAGGAAAAGGAAAUAAGGGAAUUUGUGUGCAGCCAUCUUGGUCUUGUUAACAAGAGAGCAAGAAUCAGGCUAAGUCUGUGGCCUGACAACGUGAGAUCUGUAAUUAGAUGCUGCCUUUGCCUCUCGCCUCCACACAGAGAUAAGAAUAGAAUGCUGACUCUUGCAGGGUCCUUGAGAUAAGGAGCAUCUGGGUGGAACUAAAAUAAUUGUUAGCCAUUGGUGUUUGUAAUGGGAAGGAGACUAAUUGUUAUUGUUAUUAUAUCUAAUGGACAGUAUAUAAACUGCUUCAUAAUUGCUUGUAUUCGAAGAUCUGCCCCGUCCGCGAACCAGUUUUUUCCUUGCUGCAGCUCGUAAUAAAACUGCCUCUGGCUACUAGUUGCUUACAAACGCAGAGUGAAGACAAUGUUUUCUUCCACAAUUUGGCGCUGUGACUCGGAUGGCAACACCCAAUUGAAGACAGUGACAGCGGCUGCGGACCGUCCCCCUUCAUCCUCAGGGCACCAAACGAGAGAUCUUUAAUGACAGAGACAGGAUGAAGCAACUUUCCAAAGGAUGCACUGACACGACAGAUCACAUGUUCAGUCUCCACCUCAUGGCUGGCUGUCUGGAAGUGGUGGUCUCUGAGGUAAUAUUUUCCAGGAGUUCAUCACCAGUGAUGAUUUGUGGGAGAAGGGCUGGAAACAUGUUCUGGGGUAGGCUGGUAAAUUACCUUUGUCUUCCCAAUGUUGAGGGAGACUCCCGGGCUCUGAUUGAUGCCUAAGAAAAGAUUAAGAUCAGCUUCUGUGCACAAGGACAGCACAAUCAUCAGCAUACUGAAGGUAAUAAGAGUCUUGGUGACCUUCGUUUUAGAAGGAAGACACUGCAGACUCAAGAGCUGGCUAUCCAUGUGAUAUUCAAUCCCAAUUCCAGAAUAAUGGUGGUCACAAUAAGAAUCAAGAUCACGUCAAGAUAGAUGGAAAUAAAAGAGGGUUGAGAUGAUAAUGCAGCCAUAUCAAUGCAGAUGGUGAACAGAUGCAUCUCCAACCCCCUACUGACCACAGCUGCAGUCAUCCCAUCAUAAACUAGCCUAAGAACGCAAAUAAACUUCAAUGGACAACCAAACCUAAACACCCUCCAUAAUGCUUCAAAACUGAUGGUAUGAAAGACCUUAUUUAAAUCAAUAAAUGCCAUAAACAAUGGCUGGUGGUAUUCUGGAUACUUCUCUUGGACCUGUUGUGCCACAAAAAUCAUGUUAGUGACACAUGAAGAGAGUCUAGAGCCAUACUGGGAUUCUGGAAGGGAAGAGAUGAUUCCAAAGGAUGCAAGCAAGAAUCUUUCAGGCAAUAGGAAGACCACCACUUAGUCUCCAGGGCAACUGGAAGUAUGGGAGUCUGGGAAGGCCUUCCAGGAAAGGGAGUUGGGUAUAAACAAAGAGCUCCCUUUCCUCACUGCAGAAGCACUAGAGGUGCUGAAAGAUCCAUCAAAAACUCAGUUGCCUGUAGAACAGACUCAGACUGAUCUGUUGGAAACGUAGAUAGGUAAGCAAGCUCUGGAUUUAAGUAGGGACAGGAUUUUUCAAAUGGGCAUGAAACAGAUGUGGGGGGAAAGACAAGAAUGGCAGGAAGAAGAAGAGUGGCAGGAAGAAGAAGAGUGGCAGGAAGAAGCUUGUUCACAGAAUGAAAGCUUCAUUUUUAAUGAAGUAAUUUAACAAGCUAUAUUAAUGCAUCAUUAACAGGCCACCUGCCCUUUCAGGACACCCAAGUAACCUGUCAGAUGAUGGACAAUGCCUUAAUAAAGUGGCAAUAUACAAAUUUUGUAAUGCUCUGUGACGCAAAUACCUACUAAGUGAGGCAAAGCUGAGUACUUGUUUUUAAUGUUUAAAUCUUGCAUAUUUUUAAAAAUGGGCAGUUUUUCAGGUGUCCGUUCCCCUCCAAUCUCUCAUUUAUUCAGAAUACAGAAGGGACUGGCUAGCAGAAGGCUGACUAACAACGCAUUUCCCCAAGACUGUUCAAACAACUUCUCUGUAGGGCAGGAGUAAGGCUGUGUCCUUUUAAAAGUCAGCCUUUUUUGCACAUACAAAAGGGGCCUGGUCAUGCAUGGUGCUGUGCAUUCUCAAACGCCAUUGAUUUCCAUUAUGACCACAUACAAAAGAGCCCUUUAUUAAAAAUAC